AAGGGCCCAAUUGUAGGGUUCAGAAAAAGCAUCUCUACUUCUUUAGCUUUUCUUUAAGUGUGUAUGAGUUUAGAUUGGCUGUGUUACAUGCCUAAAAGGAAAAAUUACUAAAAAAAAAUGUCCCAAGGUGUGUUUGUCAAACAGUAGAGCAAACAAUUACAUUUGAUAGUGGUUGGGGAGGAACUGGAUUUUCCCCAGUAGUCCCAGUAUCAUAGUAACUUCUUUCUAGAACACCUGAGACUUCUGUGGUUACCAGAGAAUGGUCAUUCAGAGGUCUGCCAGGAGUGUCUGUCUUGCACUGCAUUCUGUGAAAGCCUCAACAUACAUCCCUGCACCCUCUCUGACCUACUCAUUUUUAUGGCUACAGAGCUGGGAAGCAAAGCUGGCAUCAUGUGGGGAGUUUCCAUGUGCAAAUGUCUACAUCCUUCAUUCAUGUCCUUCAAGGGUUUCCUUUCACAUUUUCUGAUUGUGUUUCUGAGUACAUGGUGUCAACAGCUCUCAGAAAUGUUAAGUUUUCUAUUUAUCCUCAGGCCAGGAAAAGGCACAGAUCACUGCAGUGUAAAAUUACCAGUGGUUUUGACAGUGACCUGGAAGAACUAUGGAAUGAAGAAAUUUAGCCUUGAGAGCAGAGGUUCAGCCCCAGGCCCAUCUUAACCAAGAAGUUCUGCUCAAUUAUACAGGUCACAAGAAGUUCUGCUAGUCUUGAAAAUAUUGAACUCAUCAAACUUAAGUUUGGUGUUGUUGACAAAUCUUGGUGUGUCUUGGACACAGCCUUGGACACCAACUACCGUAUUUACUUGUUUAUUGCCUCCUUUGUUCCAUUUCUACUCAACUUUAAUUUUGAAAAGUAAUUCUGAGUUUUAAAAUUUGCUUUUUAUUUCUUUUGCAAGGGCUUUCCAAGUCAGCACAAACUCUUCUGAAGGUUUGAAAAACGAGGCAAAAUAGUAAAAAUGGCCAUAUUUGCUGAAAACAAAGAGGAUUUAUUUCUUUGGAACUGUUCUGACCAAGCGUUUAGAGAGCAGAUGUCAUAAUGGUUAAGAGCUCAGGCUUUAGAGCUGGACCUUCUGGGUUGAACCCCAACUCUGCCACUUCCCAUCUAUGAAUCUGCGGGCAAGUUACUCUCUGUGUGCCUCAGUUUUGUUUGUUUGUUUGUUUGUUUGUUUUUUUGAGACAGAGUUUCGUUCUUGUUACCCAGGGUGGAGUGCAAUGGCGCAAUCACGGCUCACCGCAACCUCCGCCUCCUGGGUUCAGGCAAUUCUCCUGCCUCAGCCUCCUGAGUAGCUGGGAUUACAGGCAUGCGCCACCAUGCCCAGCUAAUUUUUUGUACUUUUAGUAGAGACGGGGUUUCACCACGUUGACCAAGAUAGUCUCGAUCUCUUGACCUCGUGAUCCACCCGCCUCGGCUUCCCAAAGUGCUGGGAUUACAGGCUUAAGCCACCGCGCCCGGCCGCCUCAGUUUUAUCAUUUGCAAAAUAGAGAUGGGAGCCGUGAUACCUACUUCUUAAGGAUGUUGUGAAUUAUUAGGUGUAAAGCAAUUAGAAUGAGAUCUGGCUCGUAGAAGGUUCUCAAUAAUCAUUAGCUACUCUGUUAGUCAGCUUGGGCUUAUAGUGAAAUACCAUAGAUUGAGUGGCCUGAACAACAAAAAUUUAUUUUCUCCCAGUUCUGGAGGCUGAAACUGUGAAAUCAGGGCGCCAACAUAGUUAGGUUCUAGUGAGGGCUCUCUUCUUGGCUUGCAGAUGGCCACUUUCUUCCUGUGUCCUCUCAUGGUAGAGAGAUCUUUCUCUCUUUUUCUUAUAAGGUCACCAACCCUAUAAGAUUUAGACUUCCUCUGCCUUAGCAUGACCUCAUUUAAUCUUAAUUAAAUCAUAAAAGCCCUAUCUCCAAAUAUAGUUACACUGGGGGUUAGAUUUUAACAUAUGAAUUUUGGAAAGACACAAUUCAGUCCAUAACAGCUACUAUUUUUAAUUAGCUCAUAACUUAGAACUGUUGCAGAUGUCUUGUGAAUGUAGAAUCACGAAGUUACUCUGGGCAGUAUAGAAAUAUGUACUUAAAAAGGGAAUUGUGUGAAUAAAUGGGGGAUAGCUCAAGAUAGUUGUGUUUUAAUUAGAAGACAAUUCUCAUGUGUUUCUUUGUCUAUCAAGCUACCAUCCUAGUCAGAGCCCUUAAAUAUGAUCCUGAGGCUUCUAUUUCUUCUUCUGCUCUUAGCUUGCACUAACCUUGGUGACUAGUUACUUUCUGAGUGUGGUUUAUUACCUUACUUCCGAGGGCCAUUUUAGCUUCUCCAGAUACAAUUGAGGCAAUGAUGACUUGCUUUCUAACUGCAGGAGAUACGCACUAAGGUCUCAAAAACUCCACUGACAUUCUUUAGAAGGGUGGGAGUCCCAGAAUCCAAAACACUUUUCUAAAAUUUUUCUCACAAAAUACUUCCUUAAUUUUCUCUUUCUGGGCCCUUUUAUAUCUUCAUUGAGUGACAGAUUUCAAGGAUUAUGCAACUGGUUCUUCUAUGUUUCUCUUUUUGGAAAUUCUGCAUAUGGUCUAGCACUUCCUUUGGAAUGCAGCAUCAAUUGUAUCUUGGUACAUCAGUCAAAACUUCCAAUUUAACAUCCUGUUACAUUUAGAAAUGCAUCCUUCAUAUCUUGUCAUGGUACACUGGAUACAGAACAUUUCUAACUCUCCAAGCCUCGAUGUUGAGCCAAUAGAGUUAGGGGUAGGUAAGGAAGGAAACUAACCUUUACUGAGUUUAAGUAAUUUGUUUAUUUCAUAUCACUAGAAACUGCAGAGCCAAAAUUGGUCUCUAGGUCUGAUGUUCUAAAACCCAGGGUCAUUUGCUAUAUGACCAAGCACUUGUGCAAAACCUAUCCAUGGAAACACUUCCUUAAGCCCUUUCAACUUUCAACCUUCUUGGUUAUAUUCAUCCAUCUAUUAAAACAUGGUCAGAUAUUUUUGAGUUUCUGGUAAAUCAAAGAAAACAUAAAAAAUAAAGUCAUUCCCUUUGCUCCUGAUAUAGCCUCUUUUUUCUACCUCAUAAAUAAGGAAAGGAUAACCUCUACUUUUAUAGCCUUUGAGGGCUUUUUAGAAAACUAUAAAUUAGUGACUUUGGCAUUGCCCCAAGAGGAUGUGUUUAUUAACUUGGUUAUAAAUACUUGAACUCCACACUCUAAAUUUAAUUUGUCAGAUAAGAGAAUAUUAUGUUAACAUGCAUUUAUGAUUUAUUACUUCCCUAAUAUCAAUGUGAGUUUCAGAAACUAAAACAUGGCUUUUAUUUUCCAAUUCCUAACAGGGAAGACAGAAAGAAGUGGAUCUUUCUGUUAAAAAUCCUUAAAGCCAGCUUUAAUCCAUAUUUAGGCACAUACCUAUGAAACUGGAAGCACUAAGGAAAAACGGAAACUUCUAAAAGAUCCUAUGGAGGAAAAAAAAUGGUUACCUCCUAGGGAAUCAGAAUCAGAAUAGCUUUUGACUUCUCAUUAGCAACAUUGGAUGCUAGAAGACAAUGGAACAAUGCUUCAAAGUUCUGAGGAAAAAUAAUUUUACCAUAGAACUCUAUUCCCAGCCAACCCCCUGGCCAAGUAGAGAGGAAAAAGCACAUAAAACAUGGCAUAAAUUAUAGUUUAUAAUUCUGAAAAAAAUAAUUGAAGAUGAACUCCAGCAAAAUAGAAACACCAUGAAAGAGGAAGGCAAGGAUACCAGGAAUAGUAGGUCUAACUUAGCAGAGAGAGAAGUUUCUGGAUGACCGGCUAGCAGCAGCCGAAGAGCAUGCUGUCUAGAUGGGAGCAGAACUUAGGAGGCACCUGGGUGGAUGUCUCAGGCAGGAGACUGGUCUAUGAGUGAAAACAUUUAUGUAAUCAUAGAACCUCUGGUUUUAGGGGCCAAGAGGUGGCAGUUAAAGACAGGCUGGGAAUUGCUAUCAAUCAUCAUGGUGGCCUGAGCUUCAGAAGGGCUCUAUGUUCAUCUCCUCUGACUUUUCUUCUCUGACCUCUGUGGGGAGCUCAUCUGCAGAAAUCCUUCUGUGCCAUGCAGUAGACUUGGCAUCAAGCAAGACUGAGGUUUUCCAGCUCUGCAGUGGCAAAGACCUGGGCUGUCACUGGGGAGGCUGCACCUGGACUGGACCCGUUUGUACUGAUGGCACUGGGUCCUGCACUAUCUGUGCAGCCCUAAAAAUAGCUCUCAAUUAACAUUGCAUUUCAAGAAUUGGAAAAUUUCCCAGAAGUCCAUUCUUUCUUCCUUUUCUAUUUCAUUACAUUUUGCAGUAAUAAUACACAAGCCUGCAGAAAACAUGACGGGUAAUGAAAAAAUGUAAUUAAUAUAAGCAGUGUAAAGCAUGUUUUUUUUUUCUCUGUUGUCCUUGCAGAAAAUUGCUGCUUUAAACCAAGCAGGAUAUGAAAAUGCAUAAACCCCCCCUAAUCUGCUGUGGUUUGUAAAUAUCUUAUGCAAAACAGUUAAGUCAACUGUCAGAUUUUUUUUUCUAACAUUAAGCCACAUAUUCUUGUAAAAUUUCUUUCCCCUGCAGGACAAAUGGAGUGAUUUGGAUAACUCUUUGUAAGUGGGGAGAAAUGGCAGUGAUGGUAAGGUUUUUCAACCAUAAACCUAAAAGCCAAAAGAACCUCCUUUUUGGAUGGCUGCUCUGUGCAUUGGUUUCAUCUGAAUGGCACCAUAGUACCUCCUCUCAGUACAAUCAGUUCUGGUAUAGUACUUGCGAAGAGGAAUGUCCGUGCUACUAUUUCACACCAGCACACCUUAUCCCAUUAACUGAAAUAAAGUGAUUCAGAGGCCAAGAGGCUGUGGUGUAUGCCAACAUGCCUGAGACCAUUUUGGUUGACUUAUUUGAACCACUAGUAAUUAUCUAUAGGUGUUUGACUAAGAAGUCACAAUGGAAUUUCAAAGUGGAAAUAGAGAGCAUUAUUCUGAAAGCAACUUCCAAGGCCAGUGCUUAUGGUUUGCUUGCAUUUGUUUUUUUCUUUGUCCUUUAAAAAAGAAAAAACUACAGUUGAUAUACCUUAUGGAUCAUUGUUAAUUUCUAUCUUGUCCUGGGUACUAAAGGUUUUCCAUGGCUUGGAUGUGUGUGAACUUUCAGAUUUUGCUCGUGUGGAAACUCGUGGCCUUGUCACCACUGCUUCACUAGGCUCCCUCGUGAAGAUUUCUAAGAAAUGUAGUACCCAACAACAAGAGUGAGACCCCUAAAGUAACAGGUGACUGUGGACACUGGGAAGAAGUCCAGCGCCAAGCAUGGGCCUUCAGUGAAAGACUGGUUAAGUCAUGUUCUGAUUUGUAUUAUCCUUGCAUUAAAUCGAGGAAUAAAAUCACCUUAGACAUUUCACUUGAUGUUGUUCUGAACUAUAAUUUUAAAAAUUCAGGUUGCAUUAUCCUCCCGAAAUAUCAUUUCACAUUCACAUUCACUCUCUUAGCAGGUCCAGUCUUGCAAGGGAGAUAUUUUCAAAGAAAUCAGAGUUUUUGGCCCCAGAGCAGAGAAUGAUCACCGUAACACAGGCAGCGUCCAUCCCUGGCCCCUGAUGACCAAAUGGCAUGCAGGAGUGAUGAGGUGGCUGGAAGAUAUCUCUGUGGAAUAAAGCUUCCUAAACUCCUGAACCUUCGGGAGGAAGAAGCAAAUGGCUCUCUCCUUGGGGAACUUGCUCACUCCUCUCUGACACCCCUCCUGCCUUUCCAGAGAAUGGGGUCUGCUUGUUUGCAAAUCCAGAGUACCAAGUGGGUAGCACAAUGCGAUGUUUGUAAAUAUGAUAAACCAUUACAAUAUUACAGCUUUUCAUUUGGAAAGCCAUUUAGGCAAGAAAUGAUUACUGACCCAUGAUAUGUAAAUGAUGGAAAUGCAGAAAUUAGUAUUUGGGUCAACUCAUGUAUUUUUCAACCAUGAAAUGAAAAUCUCAGUGUUCACAUUCCAAUUCAUACAUGAAAGCAUCACGGUGCUAUUAGUUGACUAUUGUGUGAAUUUAUUAUUGUCUUAGUUAAUGUUUUCAGAGCCACCCUGAAGUUAUACCUCUACUUUCAAUGCACUAAUAUUGUGGCUAAGAGAGGGGUGCAUGUUCCUCUGGGCCAGUGGGUUUCCUGAGGGAAUUCUAUGUUAGCUGAGAAGAAAGAAAGUGAUUUUGAAGGAAGGUAAGGGAAUCUCCACCCCAAAUAUUUCAAAUAUGGGAUCAGUCUAUCCCUCCCUUGUUUUGGGUUCACAAAAUCCACAAGAAUGUGUUACUCACUUCUACUACUGUGACAAGUUCCUAGGUGCCCUUGGGGACACAAAAUAAUCCAAAAGAGACCUUGGUCUUCAAGGUUAAAGCAAAAGAGACUCACCAUGAAAAUGGCACAAAAACUCAAAGGGAAAGAAUUUAGGAAGGCUUCCUGGAGGAGGCCAUAUUUAAACUGGUUCUGAAGGGCUGUUAAGGCUUGAAUAGGCAAAAAGAUGGAAAAAAGUUAUCCUAGGUGGAAAGCAAGAGAAAAUAUUCUAAAAAUGGAGUAGAUGCUACGUGUACAGAGAUCUCACCUUACAGAAACAUGAGGUGGGUGCAGCAGACCUUAGCAGGUUGCAACUAAACCCACAUGCCAUGCAUCUUGGAGACCCCUCAGAGUUCCUUCCCAGAGAGUACCAGAACAAGUGAUAUGGAAAAACAGUCUGGCCUACUGCGAUCAUAUAGACAUGCAGCAAACAGUCCUGGGGCUGAGAGACCGAGGCGGGAAGGCAAGUGGAGAGGGAGAAAGAGCAGUCUAAAGAUCAGGGAAAGAGAGUCUGGAGUGGGGCUGUCUCGUGUUUGUGCAUGUGUGUUAGGAGGGAUGCAAUGGAAAGAGGGGGUCUGAGAGACAGGAAAUGAAGUGUUAGAGAUGAGUCUAACUGUAUGCAGAGGGACAGAUUUACUGUCAACCCUUAAAUGGAGUAAGGAAAUGCUGAUGAUUUUGCUUUUUAAUCUAAUUAAUUGGCUAGAGGGAACCUUCAGUAUUUCCACCGUGCUACUAAAACUCCUCUUCCUGUAACCUCAGUACAGAACAACCCCAAGAUUGGGUAGUGCUGAGAUCUUUGGGUCAUCCAACCUCGACCUUGGGUUGUGAUCUGGGUUGUGCCAGCACCUUCACGAAGGGCACUCACUCAAACCCUUUACUCAGGGUGUGAAGGUCAGAAGAGAUGCUCCACCUUCAACAGGUUCUGAAUGCAGGACAAGACAGUUUUUAGUAGGUAGAUUAGAC